UUCCUGAGCAGGACUUGGGCCCGCAUGGGGUACAGGUGAGGGGGUGGCAAGAAGGCCACGCCCUGAGCACGUCCCUGGAGCCUGUACAAACCGUGAGAACAGGAACCAAAGCAGUCUUGUUCUCGCAUUUGUGGAGUGAAGGCAGGAGCCCAGAGGUGAGAAGAGUCUGGGGCAGCGAAAGUCCCGGAUGAGGCCCAGCCUACUCGAGUCUCUCUGGGGCACCCCCUCUGAGCCCACCCGAUCUGGAGGUGCUCUCUCAAGGGCGGCAGCCAAGCCGAAGAGACGGGGCCCC